rnacentral:rRNA from 1 species
UAGUAACGGCGAGUGAAGCGGGAUGAGCUCAAAUUUGUAAUCUGGCGGUCUCUGGCCGUCCGAGUUGUAGUCUGGAGAAGCGUCUUCCGCGUCGGACCGUGUACAAGUCCCUUGGAACAGGGCGUCGUAGAGGGUGAGAAUCCCGUCUUUGACACGGACUGCCGAUGCUUUGCGAUGCGCUCUCGAAGAGUCGAGUUGUUUGGGAAUGCAGCUCAAAACGGGUGGUAAAUUCCAUCUAAAGCUAAAUAUGGGCGAAAGACCGAUAGCGAACAAGUACCGUGAGGGAAAGAUGAAAAGCACUUUGGAAAGAGAGUUAAACAGUACGUGAAAUUGUUGAAAGGGAAACGCUUGAAGUCAGUCGCGUCUCCCGGGACUCAGCCUCGCUUCUGCUUGGUGUACUUCCCGGGGCGACGGGCCAGCAUCGAUUUUGACCGUCGGAGAAAGGCCUUGGGAACGUGGCACCUUCGGGUGUGUUAUAGCCCUUGGUCGUAUGCGACGGUUGGGAUCGAGGACCGCAGCACGCCUUUUUGGCCGGGGUUCGCCCACGUACGUGCUUAGGAUGCUGGCGUAAUGGCUUUAAGCGACCCGUCUUGAAACACGGACCAAGGAGUCUAACAUGCCUGCGAGUGUUUGGGUGGCAAACCCGGACGCGAAAUGAAAGUGAAAGGUUGGGACCUCUGUCGUGGAGGGCACCGACGCCCGGACCAGACCUUCUGUGACGGUUCCGAGGUAGAGCAUGCAUGCUGGGACCCGAAAGAUGGUGAACUAUGCUUGAGUAGGGUGAAGCCAGAGGAAACUCUGGUGGAGGCUCGUAGCGAUUCUGACGUGCAAAUCGAUCGUCGAACU